GGUUGAUUAGUGUAGUUGGUUAUCACAUCGGAUUUUGAGAGCAAAGUUCCGGGGACCCGGGUUCGAAUCCCAGAUCGACCU
rfam:Blumeria graminis f. sp. tritici 96224 unplaced genomic scaffold Scaffold-138, whole genome shotgun sequence.